rnacentral:lncRNA from 1 species
CGGCCGCACCCGCAUCCAUGCUGCUGACGCUGGCCAGCGGCGCGCUCUUCUUCCCGGGGCUCUUCGCGCUCAGCAACUGGGCGCUGCGCCGCUUGCGGCCCGGAUGGACAGACGACGACUGCCUGACGGUCGGCACCAGGCUAGUGUCCUCCGUGCAGGCAGUGCUGGCCACCGGGGCGGGGCUCACCGUCAUCACCUCCUGCAGCAACGUGGUCUCAGACAGAUGCUGCUCUUGCUUUUCUCCUUUGCUCAAGAUAA